rnacentral:rRNA from 1 species
AAGGAAUAUUGCUCAAUGGGAGAAAUCCUGAAGCAGCAACGCCGCGUGGAGGAUGAAGGGUCUAUGACUUGUAAACUCCUGUAAAGAAGGAAAAAAUUCCCAUUAGAUGGGAGAUGAUGGUACUUCUGGAGUAAGCCCCGGCUAACUACGUGCCAGCAGCCGCGGUAAUACGUAGGGGGCAAGCGUUGUCCGGAUUUACUGGGUGUAAAGGGUGCUCAGGCGGAUUUGUAAGUCAGAGGUGAAAUCUUACAGCUUAACUGUGAAACUGCCUUUGAUACUGCAAGCCUAGAGUAUGGAAGAGAGCGAUGGAAUAUCUGGUGUAGCAGUGAAAUGCGUAGAUAUCAGAUAGAACACCAAUGGCGAAGGCAGUCACUUGGUCCAUUACUGACGCUAAAGCACGAAAGCGUGGGUAGCAAACA